rnacentral:rRNA from 1 species
AUACGAAGGGUGCAAGCGUUGUUCGGAAUCACUGGGCUUAAAGCGCACGCAGGCGGAAAGGUAAGUGUCUUGUGAAAUCCCCCGACUCAACCGGGGAACUGCUUGGCAUACUGCCUUUCUUGAGGCAAGCAGGGGUGUAUGGAACUCUAGGUGGAGCGGUGAAAUGCGUAGAUAUCUAGAGGAACGCCAGCGGAGAAAUCGGUACACUGGGCUUGUUCUGACGCUGAGGUGCGAAAGCGUGGGUAGCGAACGGGAUUAGAUACCCCGGUAGUCCACGCCGUAAACGAUGUCUACUAGGUCGUGGAGGUUCUAACGCCUUCGCGGCCGAAGCAAAAGUGUUAAGUAGACCGCCUGGGGAGUACGGUCGCAAGAUUAAA